rnacentral:tRNA from 1 species
CAGUAAGUAGUUUAUUUAAAACAUUAGUUUUGGAGAUUAAAGAAGAGUAUAAUUACUUUUUACUGA